rnacentral:rRNA from 1 species
UACGUAGGGUCCAAGCGUUGUCCGGAAUUAUUGGGCGUAAAGAGCUCGUAGGCGGUGUGUCGCGUCGGCCGUGAAAACCUGGGGCUCAACUCUGGGCGUGCGGUCGAUACGGGCAUCACUGGAGUUCGGCAGGGGAGACUGGAAUUCCUGGUGUAGCGGUGAAAUGCGCAGAUAUCAGGAGGAACACCGGUGGCGAAGGCGGGUCUCUGGGCCGAUACUGACGCUGAGGAGCGAAGGCAUGGGUAGCGAACAGG